rnacentral:rRNA from 1 species
CCAAUAGCGUAUAUUAAAGUUGUUGCAGUUAAAAAGCUCGUAGUUGAAUUUCGGGAUCAAUAUGUCGGUCGUGCCUUCGGUACGUACUGGCAUCAUUGGUUUCUCCCUUCUGACAAACCAUGAUGUCAUUAAUUUGGUGUUAUGGGGAGUUAGGACUGUUACUUUGAAAAAAUUAGAGUGUUUAAAGCAGGCUCACGCUUGAAUACAUUAGCAUGGAAUAAUGAAAUAGGACGUUUGACCCUAUUUUGUUGGUUUCUAGGAUCGACGUAAUGAUUAAUAGGGAUAGUUGGGGGCAUUAGUAUUCAAUUGUCAGAGGUGAAAUUCUUGGAUUUAUUGAAGACUAACUACUGCGAAAGCAUUUGCCAAGGAUGUUUUCAUUAAUCAAGAACGAAAGUUAGGGGAUCGAAGACGAUCAGAUACCGUCGUAGUCUUAACCAUAAACUAUGCCGACUAGGGAUCGGAUGAUGUUAAUUUUUUAAUGACUCAUUCGGCGCCUUACG